CGUGUCUUUAUUUCUUUGGGUCCCAUUUCCUCUUGUGAGUUUGGGGGUGGCUGUUAGGGGGUGGGGGAGGAUGAGUUGUGUGGUGGUCUGGGUGCCAUCAGGGUCUUUGUCAGCUGAAAAUAGUGGGGAUGUUGGGUGCCAGUGGGGCCUGGGCGUGGGUGAUUAGUGGUGAGUGGGAGGGGGGGAGGUCAGUUGGGGGGAGCUGAGGGUUUGGUGCUGCUGCUGCCGGCUGGAGUCAAUGGCUGGAGGGGCAGAGUGAUGGGGAAGGGCAGAGCUUUAUAAGCAAUAGGCUGGCAGGUGACAGAUGGCAUGUUAUGGCCUUCAGUGACCAUCUCUUGAAAUAGGAGUGUCUUUCAUAUGAUUCUCCAAGGGAAGGCGUGUAUGGUAUAUGGGUCUCAGACAGGUGGGCACCUGGGUUGUCAAUGUUAUGAAAAAUAGCGUCGUCUGGAGUGUGUUCCCAGUACCUCUGAUCUGCGGUCCAGCGGGUUGAAAGGAGAGAAAUGAUUGAAGUUUCUGUCUCGUGCGGCGCUGCCUUAGCAUAGCUGUGCCGCCAGGUGGCGCCCGUGCCCCGUCUGAGUGGGUUUUGCUCUUUCCCACUCGGUCCGAGCAGGUGAUUUCCUCCGGGUCCUGUCUCCCUCUGGCGAUCUUGUUUUGCGGGAUAAAAGCCCUGGUCUUGAAUAUAGUUCCCGGAGCGCAGUCCUGCAAAAACGGGAUAUGGCUCUCUGAACACAUCCAUUCAUCCUUCCUUCUUUUCACGAUGUCUAUUAAAUUGGUGAAAAUGGAACUAAAUUUUUUUGAACUAAAUUUUACCCAGUUGCAGUGAAAUAGGCCCAUUUUGUGAUUUUUCUCUUCCCGGGGUGAGGCGGGAGGUGGCGUUGGGGAAUCUGCGGUGUGUGGGGUUGGGCAGCUGUCUUAAUUUCUCUGAGCCCCAUACCCCAUUCUGAAAUGUUCCAGAGGAGGUCAGUCUCCUAGUGGGGAGGACAAACACCUCCCAAAUGCACGAGCCAGUCUGUACAGGGAGGCUCCGGCAGGGGAACUAAGAGCCAAGUUUCUGAGGCCCACAGCCGAGCCACCCGCCAGCUGACCUUGGACAGCUUGCUUAGCCUGCCCCAGUUUCCCCUGCUGUAAAAUGGAGCAAUAAUACACCCACCUGACAGGGUUAUUGUGAGGGCUUCCUUAGUAAAUAUUUGCAAAGUACCUGGUAGAUUUGCUAAAUCUAUUUCGUUUGGCCGCCCUGUGGGCAUUGGGGGUCUUUGUUGGUGGGUGGGGGAGGCCUGGUGUUGGAUGGGGUCCUUUUUCUGGCUUUUGGGCUGUGUCUUUCUCUGUGCCCAACCUUACUUUAGGGGUAAGAGUAGAUCCAGACCCAUUUACAUGUGGUCUGGGGCUGCAUCUGGGCUAACAGCUUGCAGAUCAUCCUUUUCCUUCCAAGAUGGGAGGGGGUCCCAAUGCACCCCAACUCUAGGAGAAAGCAGCAGGCCCCUAGGAAAAGCAGGCCACAGGGGCCAGGCUGCAGAGUCCCCUUCUUCUGGGAGAGUCCUUAGCAGACAGGUCUUCCCCAAACACCAAAGACUGAACUUGGCAGAACUUUAGGGUUCUCUUUCCUUUCCCCCUAUCCUCACCUUCCGCUUUUCUUUCUCUUUUCCUGCAGAGGUUCAUUAAAGUUUUUACAGACUGAAAUCCACCCAGGGUCCGUGUACAAUUCAGAGUUUUGAUACAUUUGCAGAGUUGUACAGUCAUCACCCCAACCCAGUUUAAAAGCUCCUCCACUACUAAGUUCCUCAUCACCAGCUUGCAGUCAAUUCCCUGUCCCAACCUCCCACCCCAGGCCACCGCAAAUCCACUUUCAGUCUCUCCAGAUUUGCUUCCUCUGGAAAUACCAUAUAAAUGAAACCAGACAGUCCUGCUGUGUCUAAAAUAAUUUUGCUUCUAACAUAUGUGAAUCGCAGAACCCAGAGAGUCACUCUGUUCAAGAAUGACUUUUGCAAAGUUUGUUGUGAGGCCUGUGCAAGAAUUGAUUUCAGCAGCCGUGUCGAUAAGGUCUGCAGUGAGAUAAAGAAUAAAUCUCUCUGAAACCAGGCUAAGAAAUAACCGAUAGGGCAGUGAAAAUGAAAGGAUAGAUUCUUCCUGCUACCUAUCUGGCUGAAUCUUUCUCUGAAAGAAGAGAUACUAAGAGAUAUUCAAUGGAUACCACCGUAUGUAUUAUUAAAAGAAUCAGAAGUAGGAAAGAGAACACUGGGGAUUUAUGCAUAGGCAUAAAAAUAAAAUUGAACAGGAAAUGAUCCAAAAUGUGCCAUAGGGUUUCUGCUCUGCACUGGGGGAGGCUGCCGGUAAGGUGCAGCCAUGAAUUGUUUAAUGAUGAACUGCUUCUGGGCCUGGAUACUGGUAUGUGGGUGGUCAUUUUACUGACUUUGAACUGCAUGUGUACAUUUUCCUUCCCUCCUUCCUCCCUAGCUUCUUUUCUUCCUCUUUUUUAUAUUGGGAUUCAACCUAGGGCUGCUCUACUACUGAGCUACAUCCCCGGGCCUUUUUAUUCAUUAUUUUAAGACAGGGUCUUGCUAGGUUUCUGAGGCUGGCCUCCACCUUGCGGUCAUCCUGUCUCAGCCUCCCCAGUUGCUUGGAUUACAGAUGUUCACCACCACGCCGGGCAGUGGGUAGACAUUUUCAAAUGCAUGUGGGUAUCCAUAUUUCCCGAUUAAAAAAAAUUGAAAAAAAAUUGAAUUUUGAGAGAGCUGAAUCUNGCUGGGGGAGGGGUUUAGGUGUGUGUGGGGGUACUGGUGUGUGUGAGAAUUAGAUGAGCAGGGGGUUGGCUCAGGUACAGAUUGGGUGUUCCUAUGUAAGCAGAGAAAACAUCUUAUUAUGCAAAUAGAAAGAAGCAGCAGAGCUGGUGCAUGGCACACGUCUGUGAUCCCAGUGGCUCAGGAGGCCGAAGCAGGAGGAUCGUGAGUUCAAGGCCAGCCUCUGCAACUUAAGAGAAAACCUGUCUCAAAAUAAAAAUAAAAAAUUGCUAGGGGAUGUAGCUCAGCGGUACACCAUCUCUGGAUUCAAUCUCCAGUACCACCAAAAACAAAACAAAGCAACCAAAACAAAAACAAAAAACCCCAAAUCAAAAAACCCUCCAUUCUUGGGGGUGGAGUAUUUGAUAAGUGCACUUUUAUUUAUAGAACAUGGGUUUCUUUAUGGUGUAUUCCUAUGUGCAAAUAACAUACUUUGAUCACAGAGCUGGGACAGGGCACACUCCUGUAAUCCCCAAGAUGGCAGCGGUGGAGACAGGAGAACUGCAAGUUUAAGGCCAGUCUCAGCAAUUUAGCGAGACCCUGUCUCCAAAUAAAAUAAAAUUUAAAAAGGUCUGGGUAUGUAGCUCCGAGGCAGAGCAGGCUUGGAUUUAGUCUCCAGUACCACAGCGCGUGCACACACACACACGUGCACACACGCGUGCACACACACACACAUGCAAUUGAAGGAGGAACACAGUAGAGGCAAAUGGAGUCUGCUGUGGCCAGAACAUGUACCCCAAAGCUCCAGUACUGGAGACUGAAUCCCCAAUGCCGUGGUGUGGAGGGUCGAGACUUUUAAGAGGUGAUCAGGCCUGAGGCUUCCACCUUGGUGACUGGAUUGAUGCAGUCAUCUUGGGGUGGAGUCAUCUAUGAGUGCAUUUUUAUUAACAGAAUAUGGUUUUAAGGUAUAUUCAUACAUGCAAAUAACACACUUGGAUCAUAUCCCCCAGCCUGUGGCGCUAUUGGGAGGAGGUGGAGCCUUUGGGAGGGGCUUUUCACUGGAGAAUUCUGGAAAGAUGUGCCCCUGCAGGUUAACUCACUGAGCUUCCUGCCAGUCUGUCCUCCUGGCAUGUCCAGGACAGCAAGACCCUUGAUGAAGCUGACCCCACCCCCCUUCCAUCUGCAGGGAGCCUCUCAUCUGUGAGUCUUUUUUUUUUUUUUUUAAAUUUUUAUUUAUUUUUAUUGUUUAAUUUUCGGCGGACACAACAUCUUUGUGUGUAUGUGGUGCUGAGGAUCGAACCCGGGCCGCACGCAUACCAGGCGAGCGCGCUACCGCUUGAGCCACAUCCCCAGCCCAUCAUCUGUGAGUCUUGAGAUGCCUCUGGAGCCCUGAAGACUUAGUAAAGGUUUUCCUACACUCCUCACACGCAUAGGGCCUCUCCGCCGAGUGAGUCCUGAUGUGCGAGGUGAGUUUUGAGGACUUGGGGAAGGCUUUCCCACACUCCUGGCAGGCGUAGUUCUUGCUCACAAUGUGCUUUGUCAGGUGCUUAUUGAGGUGCAGGGAGUACCUGAAGGCUUUCCCACACUGCUGGCAUUCGUAGGGCUGCUCGCCUAUGUGAAUGUCCAUGUGUCUCCUGAGAAAGGACUGGUAGACAAAAGCUCGGCCACACUCGCGACACCUGUAGCUUUUCACUCCAGUGUUAGUUCUCUUGUGUGGACCAGAAUGGUGAGCGUGGGCAGAGGUUUUCCCACUUGGUUUCUUAGCUUCUGUCUUCACACAGGAGGAUCCUCCCUGCAAGGUCCAGGCUGGGUUGUGACUGAAGUUGCUUCCACACUGGUUGGAAAUGAGCAUUCUCCCUGCACUGGGAGUCCUGGGUGCCUUGGGGACUGUGUCUCCACUGAAGGCUUUUCCAGACGCAUCCCACAGCUGAGUAUCCACUCCCGUGUCAAUUUUAUCGUGUCCAUGACGCACGUGGUUCUGAUUGUCCAUCCACGGGUGUGAUCUCGGCUCUGUGCAUGUUCUCAUUUGCGGGACCAGCCGCCCGUUCUGCCAACUGACGCCAUCACAGCCAUCAUUUUUAGGUAAUUCUUGAUGACUGUUUAAGAUGGGACAAUAUGUCACGAUAUUCCAGGAACACGGCGGGAUGUAUUUUCUUGUGGACUCUCUCUGCGAAGGCACAAGCCUCAAGCUGUCCCUCACUUGGUGACACCCACAGGAUACAGCUGGAGAUACGCCUUUGCCCUGGGCAGCUGCAGCUUGGGUCGCAUUUUGCUCCCCUGGCUUCUGUGGCUCCUCUGUGCUGUGGCACUUCUGGUCUUCUAACAGGGAAGGCCACCACGUGUUGCCAGUGAGACAGCCGGUGGCUUCACGAAAUGUUCUUGUAGCAAGAACAUCUGGCUGAGAGGUUCGGUCUUUGGUUUUACAUUGAGUCACCCAAUCUGAAAUAAAGUGGCACAAGGGUUACAUUCUUCCUCCCAAGCAAAGGUGGGUGAGAGGAAAAAUGGCGGCACCCAUGUGGAUUUCUUUACACAUGACCAUCCAACAUAUGUGACAAAAAGAUGGGAAAGGGAAGAACCCAAGACUAAGUGAGCUUAGUGCCUUAGAGUGACCCUGUUCGUGGGCUCCAUUUACACCCACUUGUGGACCCCACAAAGGCUUGUUCAUCAUGAAAGGCAUGAAAAUGUCAUGUCAUUGACAGGCUUCCAGGUUCUUGGGGAAAACCAAUGUCCACUACUUGGGGGGCAGAGGCUGUGUGUGUCAUUUAACAACCCCUUUCCCAUCUCUCACAUACCUCUCAGGACAUAGGAGGUACCAAACCAGCACUGGUCCCAUUGUUGACUAAAUACAGGAGGAGCAUCCUCGGCUGUGGAUGCCAUGUUUUCCCACAUCAUGUCCUCGAGGAGAUUCCUCUGAAAAGGGUCCACGUGUCCUUGGUGAAGUUCACAACCACAUCCACGAAGGUCACCAUGUCCUAAAACAACAUUCCCAUUUUGGCUCUGUGGGGUCCUAUUAUAGUUGACUUGUGCCUCUCCACCCAAAUACAUGUUGAUGUCCUAACCCUUGGGACCUUUAAAGGUGAUCUGAUUUGGAAUUCAGGUCUUUGUAGAUGUCAGGAGUUAGGAUGAGGUCAUAAUGGAAUAGGUUGGCCCUGUCCAAUGGCUGGUGUCCUCAUAAGAGGAGGAAAUCUGGACACAGAUGCACAGAAGGGAGGAUACCAUGUGACAAUGACAACAGAAAUUGGAGGGAGGGGUCUAUAAGUCAAGAGUGCCAAGGACUGCAGGCAGCCACCAGAAGCUAGGUGAGCGACUGACCACCAGAGCCUCAGAAGGAACCACCUGCCGCCAUUUCGAUUUUGGAUUUCAACUCCAGAACUGUAAGAGAAUACAUUUCUGCCAUUGGGAGGUGGCCAGUGGGGGGCACUCUGCUGCAGCCACAGGCAGUCUGACCCCCCCAUAGGGAGGGUGGCUCAGGGCCUAGGAACACUCCAUUCACAGAAGGUUCAUUCAAGGUCUGGUUCUCUGCCAUCAGACUCUUCUCCCCUCUGUCCACAUUCACCCCCAAGAUGACCAUAAAAUGGCUUGUGGGGUUGGGCGCGGUAUCACACGCCUGUAAUCCCAGCAGCUCAGGAGGCUGAGGCAGGAGGAUUGUGAGUUCAAAACCAGCUUCAGCACCUUAGUGAGGCCCUAAGCAACCCAAUGAGACCCUGUCUCUGAGUAAAGUACAAAAUAGGGCUGGGAUAUGGCUCAGUGGUUAAGUGCCCUUGGGUUCAAUCUCCAGUACCCCCCACCCCCGGCGGGGGGCCGGGGGAGGGGGGGUGGUUUAUGGCUUCUUGGGCUGUGCUUCUGCCUGUCUGUCUGUCUUCAUUCCCUAAAUUCUUUCAUCCUGACUCACAGCUUUGGGGAUGUGCCAGUCUCCCCUGGUGGACAGUGCUCUCUCAGUGUACUGGGGGCUGUAACCAGACACCACCCACAGGGACAUGUUGGUGACCACAGGGGUCGUCUCACAGUCCUGAAGGCCAGAAGUCCAGGUUCGAGGUGCCGGCAGGCUUGCUUUCUCCUGGGGCCUCUCUCCACGACGAGCAGAGGGCCGUCUUCUGUGUUCUCACAAGGUCUCUCCCCUGUGCUCACACAUCCCAGGUGUGUCCUCAUAAUGGGCCAGGGCCCCACCCUUAUGACCUCAUCUGACUUCCGUGACUUCUUUCAAGGACUGUGUCUCAGUACAGUCACGUUGGGGACUAGGGCCUCACUAUGAAUUUUAGGGUCACACAGUUCAGUAUACAGCACCUGUGUAUUCCCUGUGAUUUCCGGAUCCACCUCAGUCUUGGGGACUACCUUUGCUGGAGAGCCAGGCUUGAUUUGGAAAUGAGUAGCACCACAGUGAGACCUUGGGUUCCUCAGACAACGCUCUGUGACCUCAUUUGACCCCCAGGCCCUGAUGAGGAGUGGAAAGGAUCUGUCACUGCAGCAGGGGGACCCGGCAGAAUCCCCUGUGCAUAGUCUCUUUAACCAGAGGUGCAGACCUCGGAGGGCACAUCUGAGGACAGGCCCUGCCUGGCCCCAUCUGCUCUGGCCACCCCAGUCUUAGGCAGAUCCACCCUCAGUCGCUGGGAACCACUGUGCCCUUUGGUGGGGGGGUCCACUGCAGACUUUUCCUAGACAAAGUGUCACCAAUAGAGCAGCCAGUCUGAGCUUUUCUGUGUCCCUUGAAGGAGGUCGACAAGGAGAGCUUAGGGGGAAGAAAAGGGCCAUGAAGAUCUGUUGAGAGCCACAGCCAAAGGGGCCCCAGCAAACUUCCAGCUGCCAGCAAACUUCCAGCUGCUGGCUGAUGAUUGGCUCACAGCGGCCCCAGCAACAUCUAGCUGAUUGGCUCCUCUGCGGUGAUGCUCAUUGGGCUGUUUCCCUGCCCUUUCAGACCACGGAGCUGCUCAUUGGGGGACUUUUUUGGCUCCGCCCACGUGACCCAGCCAAUCGGCCUCAAGAGCAGGAGGAUUGUGGGAGGUGGAGAGAAGCUUGUGUGGGAGAGAGAGGCUUGUGGAAAGCCGGUGGUGGCAGUUGAGGCUCUGAGGGUUUUUCCUGAGAGACUAUUUUGUUUGUCGUGUGUGGUUCUAAAAAUAAAGUUAGUUUCUUUUGACAAGUGGCUCCUGAUUGUGCCCAGCCAGACUGCGGCAUUGCGAAGAUCCAGGCUCACUGCACCUCCUAAACACUAAUCUGAGCAAGCAUGUGCUCGCGGGAAUGUUCCUGCCUUGCGCGCCCCCCCACAUUUAGUUCUGUUUACUUUUGUUUUUGGUACCUGGGAUUGAACCCAAGGUCACUUAACC
rnacentral:lncRNA from 1 species